rnacentral:lncRNA from 1 species
GAAGCAGAUUGUUCCAGAGGACUAACUUCCAGACUAUUCUUGAUAUCAUUAAUUUUUUAAUGUAUCCAGUGAUUUAAGAGUUAAUGGUUCUUUUAUUCUAACUUACCACAACAUGGUAGGUUUUAUUUUUGUGUUAGAAAUGAUACAUACAUACAAAACAUUGCACCUUACUUUGCAAAACAGAAGUGCUUCACUGAAAGGAAGCCUAGGUUUAUAUAGACUUGGAGUAAAGAGAUUCAACCAUCUUGCCAUGGAGGACACUAUGUUCAUUCCUGGAACGUGGCAUUUGUGAGCCCAUCACACGGCCUUUGUCAACCUUAGCUUCUUCAGCACUUUAUUAGGAUCCACCUCAAAUAAGUGUCCCAUUGAGAUUUGAGGUGUGACAGGACACCAGUGCACCACUGAGGUUCCUUCCUAUGAACCAAAUGAGGAGAUCUAACCUGAAAUAGUACAUGGAAUGUCGAUCAACCUAAACUCCCAACAAAUUGGAAGCACAUUAGGUCAAUUCUAAGAAACACCUGCUGUGGUUUAGAUAUGGACUGUCCUUAAAUCUAUCUAUGGAUUUAGAGAUGGGGACCUUGGGACAUGAUCAGGAUUAGAUAAGAUCAUCAGAGUGCAGCCCCCAUGAUCAAAAUCUUGUGGCUUUAUAAGAAGAGGGAGAGAGACCAGAAAACAUACAUAUGCCUGCUCUGUCUCUUGUGAUAGAUGCCCUCUGCCACCUCAAUACUCUGCCGUCAAGAAAGCUAUCAUCAGAUGUAAACCCUUGAAUCUCUGUGAG